AUUGAACGCUGGCGGCAGGCCUAACACAUGCAAGUCGAGCGGAUGAAGGGGGCUUGCUCCUGUAUUCAGCUGCGGACGGGUGGGUAAUUCCUACGAAUCUGCCUGGCCUUGGGGGCUAACGUCCGGACACGGGCGCUAAUACCGCAUACGUCCUGAUGGUGAAAGUGGUGGAUCUUCGGACCUCACGCUAUUAGAUGAGCCUAGGUCGGAUUAGCUAGUUGGUGGGGUAAAGGCCUACCAAGGCGACGAUCCGUAACUGGUCUGAGAGGAUGAUCAGUCACACUGGAACUGAGACACGGUCCAGACUCCUACGGGAGGCAGCAGUGGGGAAUAUUGGACAAUGGGCGAAAGCCUGAUCCAGCCAUGCCGCGUGUGUGAAGAAGGUCUUCGGAUUGUAAAGCACUUUAAGUUGGGAGGAAGGGCAGUAAGUGAAUACCUGGCUGUCUUGACGGUACCAACAGAAUAAGCAACGGCUAACUUCGUG
rnacentral:rRNA from 1 species